CGCUAUCACUCCUACGGGAGGCAGCAGUGGGGAAUAUUGCACAAUGGGGGAAACCCUGAUGCAGCCAUGCCGCGUGUGUGAAGAAGGCCUUCGGGUUGUAAAGCACUUUCAGUAGGGAGGAAGGUAGUGUAGUUAACACCUACACUAUUUGACGUUACCUACAGAAGAAGCACCGGCUAACUCCGUGCCAGCAGCCGCGGUAAUACGGAGGGUGCGAGCGUUAAUCGGAAUUACUGGGCGUAAAGCGCAUGCAGGCGGCCUGUUAAGUCAGAUGUGAAAGCCCGGGGCUUAACCUCGGAAUUGCAUUUGAAACUGGCAGGCUAGAGUCUUGUAGAGGGGGUAGAAUUUCAGGUGUAGCGGUGAAAUGCGUAGAGAUCUGAAGGAAUACCAGUGGCGAAGGCGGCCCCCUGGACAAAGACUGACGCUCAGAUGCGAAAGCGUGGGGAGCAAACAGGAUUAGAUACCCUGGUAG
rnacentral:rRNA from 1 species